rnacentral:rRNA from 1 species
AUGAACGCUGGCGGCGUGUUUAAGGCAUGCAAGUUGAACGACGUGUCCAUUAAAGCAAUUUAAGGGAUUACGAGUAGCAAACGGGAGAGUAACACCUUGGUAACUCACCUUCAAGACGGGGACAGCUUGCCGAAAGGCAAAUUAAAACCCGAUGGUCAUGCGGGGACGAGAGUCAUUCGCAUGUAAAUGUUUUUUCGCUUGAAGAGAGGCCUAGGUCCUAUCAGCUAGUUGGUGAGGUAAAAGCUCACCAAGGCUACGACGGGUAGGGGGCGUGAGAGCGCGACCCCCCUCACUGGGACUGAGACACUGCCCAGACUCCUACGGGAGGCUGCAGUCAAGAAUAUUCCGCAAUGCACGAAAGUGUGACGGAGCGACGCCGCGUGUCGAAAGAAGGCCUUCGGGUCGUAAACGACUUUUAUCAGGGACGAAUUUUGACGGUACCUGAAGAAUAAGGGGUUGCUAACUCUGU